UCUAGAGGUUCGACGACAUUGAUGCAAAAUGAAUCCAAAUCCUUGUAUGGUACUAUGGAUAAGUGAAUGACAUAUUACUUGCACAACACGAGCACUCAAGCUUAUGAGUUAAAGUGAUAAUUUUGAACUAUUUCAAAGUCAAAAUUUGACAUCUUUGGUUAUAUUUGGAGGUUUUCUUGCCAUACGAGGAACUAACCAAUCCCCUUUGGUCUUGAAAGGUGUUUGCCAUUUCAUUAACAAACUACUAGUCCAUUCAUGGAAUAGAUGGAACUCUUCAAACCUAGUUCACUUUGUGCUGAAUGUGACAAUUUGUCCAUCUUUUCCUUUGUCUUAGGAGAGGCACAUCAUUUGGGAACCUGACCCAUAAUUCCAUCUUAACCGAGUGUCUUCAACCCGUUGAAAUGUCUUUAUCCUGUUUUUCAAAGACAUAACCUAGACUUAGGGUUGAGGCUAUCAUGGAAGAUCUCUUAUCUGUUUUCAAAAGAACUGGUCAAUUUUGAACUGUGACGUUUUUGAAAAGUUCUAUCCUUUGAAGUUGCAUGAAUUUUGUUCUUGGCUUCAUCUAAUAUUUGUCUUGGCUUGCAAUACAUGGUUUUGCAAAAUGAGGUGGAAUUAUUCUUCAUCGCCACCAACUACCCACCCGUGCCUUUGCUUCGACAGUUGGGUCCUUUAUGGUUUCAGACCAGGUGGGACAUUUGCAUUGUACUCACUGAUAUGCAAGCAUGUAAAGCUCUGUCUUCUUCCAAACCAAUUUUCAUCUGAUGCUCGUAUCAAGUUCAACUAAAGGUGCCACCUCCACAGCUUGGGAUGUCAAUAACGAUUAAAGAAAGGAGGCAAUUGCUUUAUAGAUUACCACAAUUAUGGUGUGGCUAUGAAUUAUUUUUUCCUCCAAAAUAUUUCACACAUUUGAUGUAGAAGGUUUGCAGUCAUAUGGGUUCAAGCUGGACUUUGGCAAGUUCUUGUAUGAAAACCCUUGUAUUAUAACAAAUUUUUUUCCCUGUACACCUGCAAAUCUAAUUAUGAAGGAAAAUGAAGAAAUUGAAGAAACAUGAGAAAGUGACUUAAAGUAGAAGAGACCAUAUUCUCCAUAUAGGAUUUGAUUGCCACAACUUCUCUUUUCCAGGGGGGACUCCUCAUCUCCUGAACACUGAAGGCUGCUUUUGAAAAUUGCCAUAAGCACAACUUUCCAUUUUGCUCCUAUUUUCUUUCUGCUGUGAGCAUCUGUGAAUGGUCUAUUUGUCAUGACCAGUGACCACUUUAAUGAUGCUGCAACAGAAGAUGCCAGAUAUUAGGGACUGUUUGGCCUUCAUCUUGAUCAAAAGAGAAACAGAUUAUGAAUUGUAGCUAUGGAUCAAAUUGCUGGCAAACUAUGGGUGAGAGAUACAUGUCCCAUCGUUUGUUGUGGUCUGUAAAGAAUCGUUUUGGAUCCACCGAUGAGGUAUUCUCGGACAUGCCUCAUCAAUGUGCUGGUUCAAAUUUUCGUUUAUACAUUUUCACAGGAGUGAAUUUCAUGAUACAGUUCUUUUCUGUGAUUGAACAACAUGAUGUCCGGAUGGUUCUGCUCUUUGGGUAGCUACUUCACUAUAUUGCCCUUUCUUCGUGGUUAUGAAGAGGUUUUGAUUUCUGUUCUAUAUUUGAUCAUGUGCAUGGAUCUUACAUACAUCCUAUUUGUUCCAUUUGCAUAUGCAAUGCAACUUUUUUUCUUCUCAAAUAACGAUAGAUUAGCACUGCAAAUGUGGAUUUUUUUUUCUACUCAAUUGCAAAUGCAGAUGUUUCUUUUUCCUCUAGUCAGAUCAUUUGUGGUACCUAUAGUUAUGAGCUGCUGUCUGGUAGGCCUCUGACCUGCAUUAGUAACUGUCUCUGAUGAGAAUAUGUAGAACAUAUAGGCCUGAUGAGAACAGGCCUCUGACAGGACUGUUCCAGAGAGAGAGAGAGAGAGAGAGAGAGAGAGAGAGAGAGAGAGAGAGAGAGAGAGACGGAGAGAGAGGGAGAGAGAAGCAUAAGGAGGAGGGAGUGAAUCAUGGAAGGAGUAGGGGCUAAAGUGGUUAGGUUCAAAGCAAGAGGAGAAUGUUAUGGUUGACCUGGGCCAGGUUGGUUCUGCUGCUUCUGCACUGCUUACCCAUAGGCCAUAACUGGCCUCCUCUAUUCAAAUUGUUGUGGUCAGAUAGGCAUGUCUUAAGUCUUAACCUGUGCAAAGUGUAUCUCUGCCUCAAAUAAUCU